UCCCGCUUUCUCUCUCCCUCUACCUCCCUCUCCCAUUCUCUCGCCCUCUCUCUCCCCCUCUCCCCCUCGCUCCCUCACCUUCUCUCCCUCUCACCCUCUCUCUCUAUUUCUUUCUCUCUCACCCUCUCUUGCUCAACCCCCCACCCGCCCCUCGCCCCUCUCUCUCCAUGUUCCCUUCUGACUGGUCCAUAUGCUUGGGCUCUCAGGCUUAAUCUGAUCCGGUGGUGGCCGGUCUGCACGUGUACAUCGCUCCUGUCUUUAUCUAUGGGCUGUUUAUGACUAAGUGACAUUAAGGGCUGAGACUUGAACCCAAAGGAGGAGGACAAAAUGAAGGGCAGAAUGCGUAACUCUGCUUCUCUCGACCACAGCGGGGUGGCCCGGUCGGACAGCAAGAUCAGCGCCAAGGCCCUCUACGAACAGCGGAAGAAAUACUCCAACUCCAAUGUGAUCAUGCAGGAGACGUCGCAGUAUCACGUUGAGCAUCUCUCCACCUUCAUGAUGGACAAGUCGGAGUCCAUCGCCACCGUGGACGACGCCAUCAAGAAGCUGGUCCUCCUGGACUCCAAGGACAAGAUCUGGACCCAGGAGAUGCUGCUUCAGGUCACAGACAAAGCGGUGCGGCUGCUGGACUGUGACACACAGGAGGAGCUGGAGAACUUCCCCCUACCCACAGUGCACCACUGUCAGCCUGUGCUGAACCAGACCCGCUACCCGUCGGUGCUGCUACUGGUGUGUCAGGACAAGGACCAGCACAACCCCGACAUCCACUUCUUCCACUGCGACGAGGUGGAGGCAGAGAUGGUUCACGCAGACGUUGACAGCGCCAUCGGGGACAACAAGCAUGGCAAGAAAAUGAGGCUGCAGACAUUAAAGGUAAACCAGGAAAAAAUGAAGCGUCAGAGAGAGACCAUUCUCCCUCCCUCGGGCCCUAAGGGCCCGGCCCCCAGCGCCAAGGGACGAGUGGCCGCCACAAGCAUGCAGACUGCAGACCAGCGAGGCUCAGGCCACGAGUCUCAUGAGAAGCUGGCCCAGCGUAUAGAGAAGGACGUGCAAAUCCUUAACUGUGCCCUGGACGACAUUGAGUUGCUGGUGGCGCGCUUGCAGAAGGCUGCGGAGGCCUUCUCCCAGCUCAACCAGCGCAACAAGAGUAAGAAGAAUAAGAAGAAAGGACCAGCAGAGGGCAUGCUGACCCUCAGGGCCAAGCCCCCCACCGAAGCCGACCUUGUUGAUAGUCUACAGAAACUGAAGCUGGCAUUGAACCUCUUGGCCAAGCUGAAGAAGCACAUCCAGAAUCCCAGUGCGUCUGAACUGGUUCACUUCCUCUUCGGGCCGCUGGAGCUGGUGCUCCAGAGCUGUGGUAGUCCAGACCUGGCCCGCUCCAUCAUUGCGCCCCACUUGUGCCGGGACACAGUGGACUUCCUGCGGGGGAACCUCUCCCCUAAGGAGAUGACCAUCUUUGAGCUGCUGGGCGAGGGAUGGACGAGGCCCAGAGCAGACUGGCCGAGGGACCAGUGUGCCCCCCCUUACUACCCCAAAUUCCGGAAUGGAUGGGAACCCCCCGCGGAGCACUUCAAGGUGUCGCCAUGGGAGACAGAGGGACCCACGGGGCCACCUAUGUCCCCCACCACCCCGGACUACAAGAAGCAGUCCUCUGGGGAGUUUUACGGAACUCAUUCGUCCAAUUCAUCAAAUGGGUCUUAUAAUGGGAUGCCACCCACCCGCAGAUACGCCAAGAUCCGCUACCACUUUGUCGCUCGCAACGCCAAUGAGCUGUCAGUGCUGCAGGACGAGGUGCUCGAGGUGAUCGAGGACGACAAGCAGUGGUGGAAGUUGCGGAACCGAAGUGGGCAGUCCGGCUACGUCCCCUACAACAUCCUGGACGUGGUGAAGCUGGAGGACCCACAGGCCAUGCAAGACACCUUCCAGCCCGGUCAGGGCUACAGAGGGCCAGCCCCUACAAGUCCCAUGGGCCCUGGGGGGGACAGUUUCGGCGUUGCAAGACACAAAGACAAGGUGAUAUCGCACCAGAUGGAUGAGGUCAACGAUGAGCUGCUGAAGAGAAUCACCACAAACAAGAGCCAGCCGCCCGCCAGGAACUUCCGCGUGGAGCGCUCCGGCGGGAGCAGCAUCCCGCUGACCUUCGACUCCAGCCCCCAGCAGGUCACCGCAUGGCUCACCGCAAAGUUCAGCAAACCGACGGUGGAGUGCCUGGGCAUCCUGACCGGGGCGCAGCUGUUCUCCCUGAACAAGGAGGAGCUGAAGGCCGUGUGCGGGGACGAGGGAGCCCGGGUCUACAGUCAGAUCACUGUGCAGAGGGCACAGCUGGAGAAAAGCACUGGGGACUCAGAACUUGAGGAGAUCAUGAAGAGAAGGCAGGAGAAGAUUGGCUCCACCAGUGAGGACUGAACCCACCCACUUCACCAGUAGCCAAUAACAGCCCUGCACGGCUGAUCAGUUUCACCAGUCCAAUCUAUUCAGAGCUUACCAUUUAAGCAAAACUAUUUACAUGUCUUCACAAAGACACACCCUACAGUAGAAUAUACCGAAUUGGUGUUGUACAAAUUGUAAUUGAAUAUUUAUUUUGUAUCACUGAUAAAUAUAAGUUUUCAAUUGUUUUCUUAUGUUCUUGCCUUUUUCUUCCUACCUUAUAAGUGUGUACUGUUGCUUGAAGAAGUGUGUGUUGUAUAAAAUAGAGAACACAACGCGAUUGACUGAUUGUUGAAUGUGUGUGUGUGUGUGUGUGUGUGUGUGUGUGUGUGUGUGUGUGUGUGUGUGUGUAAUUGUAAUUGUAGGUGUGGCGGUGUGUGUGUGUGUGUGUGUGUGUGCAUGAAAUUAAUGAAAUAUAUGUGGGCAAGAGACAUUUGCGCAUACACAGAAUAAUAAUUAGCAAUGGUGUUUACUAAAUAACAUGUAAUUAUUAACCAAUCAUUGCAUAACCAAAAUCCCUGUGCCAGAAUCUAUUACAUACCAUACAAUUCCAAUAUAUUUUGAUUGAUCAUUGCUUUCAUGUGAUUACUGUUUACAGACAUAAUUUUAUAGCAAAACAUGUUAAAGUUAUGUGUCAUUCUAGGUUGAAAGCAAUAUAUUCAUAUGUCAUGUGAUAUUUGCUACAUUAGUGAAAUAAUUAGGGUGCAUAUCCUACUGGUAAAUUUCUAUUUUCCUUACAUCUGUUUCUGAACCUUUCAGAAUCAGGCAUAACAGGGGCUCUUAAAGGCAAGUCGUUUUAGAAGGGAAAUUGCAUGUCUUGUGGGAGUUAUUAUUGUGCUUUUUUUUGCAGCAUGUGGGGCACUCAUCAUGAAAUACUCAACACAUAAUGUAACAUGAGCUUGAUUCACUGAGAAAAUGUAAUUUUCUUUUCAAAACAAGUGUUAAAUAGGUGUUGGUUCAAAAAGAGGUUAAGCCAAAUAAAGAGGGCUGAUGUAAAUAGGAGGAUAAAAUGAGUUGAAAAAGAAUAUCAUAAUAAAAAUGAAUAAUGCUCAA